UACGUAGGGUGCAAGCGUUGUCCGGAAUUAUUGGGCGUAAAGAGCUUGUAGGCGGUUUGUCGCGUCUGCUGUGAAAUUUCGGGGCUCAACCCCGAACUUGCAGUGGGUACGGGCAGACUAGAGUGUGGUAGGGGAGACUGGAAUUCCUGGUGUAGCGGUGAAAUGCGUAGAUAUCGGGAGGAACACCAGUGGCGAAGGCGACUACCUGGCCUGUUCUUGACGCUGAGGCGCGAAAGCUAGGGGAGCAAACGGGG
rnacentral:rRNA from 1 species